GCUCAAAUUUGAAAUCUUACUAUUUUAUAGUACGAAUUGUAGUUUAGAGAAAUGUUUUCGAGGUUAUUGGCUAGUACAAGUUCUUUGGAACAAGACAUCAUAGAGGGUGACAAUCCCGUCUACGACUAGUUUAAUAAUUUCAUAUGAUACAUUUUCUAAGAGUCGGUUUGUUUGGGAAUGCAGACCAAAAUGGGUGGUAAAUACCAUCUAAAGCUAAAUAUUGGCGAGAGACCGAUAGCGAACAAGUACCGUGAGGGAAAGAUGAAAAGAACUUUGAAAAGAGAGUUAAAUAGUACGUGAAAUUGUCAAAAGGGAAACGUUUGAAACCAGUAUUGUGAGUAGUAUUUCAAUUAUACCCUAGGUAUAACUUAUUAUACUAUUUACAAGUCAACAUCAGUUUGAUUUGAUAUAAAAAGUUAUAGUCAUGUAGCCUUUUAGGUAUUAUAGGUUAUAAUAAUGUAUUGAAUUAGACUGAGGACUGCAGUGUUAUUUAAAGAUCCUUAUCGCCUAUGAAGUAAGUUAUAAAGAUUACUUGUAAAUUUUAUGAUAUUAUGAUUAGUACGGUUUGGUAUUAUACCAACGCUUAGGAUGUUGACGAAAUGGUUUUAAGCGACCCGUCUUGAAACACGGACCAAGGAGUCUAACAAAUAUGCGAGUAUUUGGGUGGUAAACCCUUAUGCGUAGUGAAAGCGAAAAGGUGGGAUACUUUACAGUUGCACCAUCGACCGCGUUAGAUUAUUACUAUCUCAGCGUGAGUAUGAGCAUAUUUGCUGGGACCCGAAAGAUGGUGAACUAUGCCUGAAUAGGGUGAAGUCAGAGG
rnacentral:rRNA from 2 species